UAGCUAGUUGGUGAGGUAACGGCUUACCAAGGCGACGAUCUGUAGCGGGUCUGAGAGGAUGAUCCGCCACACUGGAACUGAGACACGGUCCAGACUCCUACGGGAGGCAGCAGUGGGGAAUUUUGGACAAUGGGGGCAACCCUGAUCCAGCCAUGCCGCGUGAGUGAAGAAGGCCUUCGGGUUGUAAAGCUCUUUCGGCCGGGAAGAAAUCGCAUGGGCCAAUACCCUGUGUGGAUGACGGUACCGGAAUAAGAAGCACCGGCUAACUACGUGCCAGCAGCCGCGGUAAUACGUAGGGUGCGAGCGUUAAUCGGAAUUACUGGGCGUAAAGCGUGCGCAGGCGGUUUUGUAAGACAGGCGUGAAAUCCCCGGGCUCAACCUGGGAACUGCGUUUGUGACUGCAAGGCUAGAGUACGGCAGAGGGGGGUGGAAUUCCACGUGUAGCAGUGAAAUGCGUAGAGAUGUGGAGGAACACCAAUGGCGAAGGCAGCCCCCUGGGUCGAUACUGACGCUCAUGCACGAAAGCGUGGGUAGCAAACAGGAUUAGAUACCCUGGUAGUCCACGCCCUAAACUAUGUCAACUAGGUGUUGGGUGGGUAAAACCAUUUAGUACCGUAGCUAACGCGUGAAGUUGACCGCCUGGGGAGUACGGCCGCAAGGUUAAAACUCAAAGGAAUUGACGGGGACCCGCACAAGCGGUGGAUGAUGUGGAUUAAUUCGAUGCAACGCGAAAAACCUUACCUACCCUUGACAUGCCAGGAACUUGCCAGAGAUGGCUUGGUGCCCGAAAGGGAGCCUGGGCACAGGUGCUGCAUGGCUGUCGUCAGCUCGUGUCGUGAGAUGUUGGGUUAAGUCCCGCAACGAGCGCAACCCUUGUCGUUAAUUGCCAUCAUUUAGUUGGGCACUUUAGCGAGACUGCCGGUGACAAACCGGAGGAAGGUGGGGAUGACGUCAAGUCCUCAUGGCCCUUAUGGGUAGGGCUUCACACGUCAUACAAUGGUCGGUACAAAGGGUCGCCAAGCCGCGAGGUGGAGCCAAUCCCAGAAAGCCGAUCGUAGUCCGGAUUGCAGGCUGCAACUCGCCUGCAUGAAGUCGGAAUCGCUAGUAAUCGUGGAUCAGCAUGUCACGGUGAAUACGUUCCCGGGUCUUGUACACACCGCCCGUCACACCAUGGGAGCGGGUUCCGCCAGAAGUAGGUAGCCUAACCGUAAGGAGGGCGCUUACCACGGCGGGGUUCGUGACUGGGGUGAAGUCGUAACAAGGUAGCCGUAGGGGGAACCUGCGGCUG
rnacentral:rRNA from 1 species